CCUACGGGGGGCAGCAGUGGGGAAUAUUGGACAAUGGGGGCAACCCUGAUCCAGCCAUGCCGCGUGUGUGAAGAAGGCCCUCGGGUUGUAAAGCACUUUCAGUGAGGAAGAACGCCUGGUGGUUAAUACCCAUCAGGAAAGACAUCACUCACAGAAGAAGCACCAGCUAACUCCGUGCCAGCAGCCGCGGUAAUACGGAGGGUGCGAGCGUUAAUCGGAAUUACUGGGCGUAAAGCGCGCGUAGGUGGCUUGAUAAGCCGGUUGUGAAAGCCCCGGGCUCAACCUGGGAACGGCAUCCGGAACUGUCAAGCUAGAGUGCAGGAGAGGAAGGUAGAAUUCCCGGUGUAGCGGUGAAAUGCGUAGAGAUCGGGAGGAAUACCAGUGGCGAAGGCGGCCUUCUGGACUGACACUGGCACUGAGGUGCGAAAGCGUGGGUAGCAAACAGGAUUAGAUACCCGAGUAGUC
rnacentral:rRNA from 1 species